UGGGUUAGUCGGGACCUAAGGAGAGACCGAAAGGUGUAUCCGAUGGCCAACAGGUUGAGAUUCCUGUACUAGAGUAUGAAGUGAUGGAGGGACGCAGUAGGCUAACUCGUGCGUACGAAUGGAUGUACGUCUAAGCAGUGAGGCGUGGUAUGAGUCAAAUGCUUAUACCUGUAACGUUGAGCUGUGAUGGGGAGCGAAGUUUAGUAGCGAGUGAGUGAUGUCACACUGCCAAGAAAAGCUUCUAGCGUUGUAUCAUACUCUACCCGUACCGCAAACCGACACAGGUAGUCGAGGCGAGUAGCCUCAGGUGAGCGAGAGAACUCUCGUUAAGGAACUCGGCAAAAUGACCCCGUAACUUCGGGAGAAGGGGUGCUGACUUUUGUCAGCCGCAGUGAAUAGGCCCAAGCAACUGUUUAUCAAAAACACAGCUCUCUGCUAAAUCGUAAGAUGAUGUAUAGGGGGUGACGCCUGCCCGGUGCUGGAAGGUUAAGAGGAGUGCUUAGCGGUAACGCGAAGGUAUGAAUUGAAGCCCCAGUAAACGGCGGCCGUAACUAUAACGGUCCUAAGGUAGCGAAAUUCCUUGUCGGGUAAGUUCCGACCCGCACGAAAGGCGUAAUGAUUUGGGCACUGUCUCAACGAGAGACUCGGUGAAAUUUUAGUACCUGUGAAGAUGCAGGUUACCCGCGACAGGACGGAAAGACCCCAUGGAGCUUUACUGCAGUUUGAUAUUGAGUGUCUGUGCCACAUGUACAGGAUAGGUAGGAGCCUAUGAAAUCGGGACGCCAGUUUCGAUGGAGGCGUUGUUGGGAUACUACCCUUGUGUUAUGGCCACUCUAACCCGGUAGGUUAAUCAUCUACGGAGACAGUGUCUGACGGGCAGUUUGACUGGGGCGGUCGCCUCCUAAAAGGUAACGGAGGCGCCCAAAGGUUCCCUCAGACUGGUUGGAAAUCAGUCGCAGAGUGUAAAGGUAUAAGGGAGCUUGACUGCGAGAGCUACAACUCG
rnacentral:rRNA from 1 species